rnacentral:rRNA from 1 species
GACAGGAUGGUGCAAACGUUGUUCGGAAUGACUGGGCGUAAAGCGCGUGUAGGCGGCUCGGCAAGUCGGAUGUGAAAGCCCUGGGCUCAACCCAGGAAGUGCACUCGAAACUGCCGAGCUGGAGUCCCGGAGAGGAAGGCGGAAUUCUCGGUGUAGAGGUGAAAUUCGUAGAUAUCGAGAGGAACACCGGUGGCGAAGGCGCCUCUGGACGGCGACGUGACGCUGAGGCGCGAAAGCUAGGGGAGCAAACGGGGAUUAAGCAUA